rnacentral:rRNA from 1 species
CCAAGGAGUUUAUCGUGUGCGCAAGUCAUUGGGUGUUCAAACCUAAAGGCGCAAUGAAAGUGAAUGCCUCCGCAAGGAGUUGAUGUGUAACACUGUUGGCCACGGCUGGCGGGUGCAACAUAGCCCCAUUCGGAUUGCUUGCAAUCGGGUGGCGGAAGAGCGUACGCGACGAGACCCGAAAGAUGGUGAACUAUUCCUGAGCAGGAUGAAGCCAGAGGAAACUCUGGUGGAAGUCCGAAGCGAUUCUGACGUGCAAAUCGAUCGUCUGACUUGGGUAUAGGGGCGAAAGACUAAUCGAAC